rnacentral:rRNA from 1 species
GACGAACGCUGGCGGCGUGCUUAACACAUGCAAGUCGAACGAAGUGGCGAACGGGUGAGUAACGCGUAAUUAACCUGCCCUUCAGAGGGGGUCAACAGUUGGAACCGACUGCUAUUACGCCAUACUGAUGAGGGGGUUUGCGUCUGAUUAGCUAGUCGGAGGGGUAACGGCCCACCAAGGCGAGGAUCAGUAGCCGGUCUGAGAGGAUGAACGGCCACAUUGGGACUGAGACACGGCCCCGACUCCUAAGGGAGGCAGCAGUGGGGAAGCUUCCGAAAUUGACGAAAGUCUGACGGAGCAACGCCGCGUGGUUGAUGACGGCCUUCGGGUUGUAAAGCUCUGUUAAGCGGGACGCGGUACCGGAAUAGAAAGCCACGGCUAACUACGUGCCAGCAGCCGCGGUAAUAC